CAAAACCCACCUCUCUCCUGGCUAUGAAUUCCUGUCUGUAAACCAACCAGCAAAAUGUACGGGUGGGAACCCAUCGUCCUGGGCGGGAUCUCCUCCAGAAUUGCCAGGAGUUGAAGCACUGUGUGUGCAGAAUUCACAGGAACAGAGCGUGCGGGGGAGGAGGAGGCGGUGCCACCAUGAGGGGCCCAGCGACCCGGAAGCUUCUAGAAUACAUUUAGUUCUACAAGUAUUUUGUGAAUGAGGUUGCCCUCGAUGGUGUUGACUUAUGCAUUCUUCCCCAUCCUCACCAGACAUCAGCAUCAGGAGAACACAGCUGCCGGCCAGAGCCACGCCAGAUUUGAGCCACAUCUGC